GCUUUUGAUGGGCGUCGACCGGCGCACGGGUGAGUAAGGCGUAUCCAACCUGCCCACCACUUGGGAAUAACCUUGCAAAAGUAAGACUAAUACCCAAUGAUAUCUCUAGAAGGCAUCAGAAAGAGAUUAAAGAUUUAUCGGUGAUGGAUGGUGAUGCGUCUGAUUAGCUUGUUGGCGGGUUAACGGCCCACCAAGGCUACGAUCAGUAGGGGCUCUGAUAGGAAGGUCCCCCACAUUGGAACUGAGACACGGUCCAAACUCCUACGGGAGGCAGCAGUGAGGAAUAUUGGUCAAUGGACGAGAGUCUGAACCAGCCAAGUAGCGUGCAGGAUGACGGCCCUAUGGGUUGUAAACUGCUUUUAUAAGGGAAUAAAGUGAGUCUCGUGAGACUUUUUGCAUGUACCUUAUGAAUAAGGACCGGCUAAUUCCGUGCCAGCAGCCGCGGUAAUACGGAAGGUCCGGGCGUUAUCCGGAUUUAUUGGGUUUAAAGGGAGCGUAGGCCGGAGAUUAAGCGUGUUGUGAAAUGUAGAUGCUCAACAUCUGCACUGCAGCGCGAACUGGUUUCCUUGAGUACGCACAAAGUGGGCGGAAUUCGUGGUGUAGCGGUGAAAUGCUUAGAUAUCACGAAGAACUCCGAUUGCGAAGGCAGCUCACUGGAGCGCAACUGACGCUGAAGCUCGAAAGUGCGGGUAUCGAACAGGAUUAGAUACCCUGGUAGUCCGCACGGUAAACGAUGGAUGCCCGCUGUUGGUCUGAAUAGGUCAGCGGCC
rnacentral:rRNA from 1 species